CCUGGCCACUAUCUGCCUGACAAGGUUACACCGAGGAUGUGAACUACAACAGCCAGCUCACAGCCUGGGCACAGCGCUGGCUACAUGCAGAGUGAGCCCAAACCUGCUCCAGCCCCCCAGCUGUGUUGGAGCAACAAACCCCUGGGAGUUCAGUGAGUGGGAUUUGGGUCUGUUCGCUCUGUGUCCUGAGUGUGAGGGCCGAGGGGCCGAGCUUCUCUGUGCACCGCACAAACCAGACUGACUUUCUGUUCACAGCGAGGGCUCUGAGAUCUGCCCAGAGGGUCUAUGAAACUUCUUGUAAAGUCUGAGAUUUCCCCUCUCCUCCCCAGUGACAUGAACAAAGAGACUCACCAUUCUCUGCACGAUGCGCCGCUGGAAGUGAAUAACAGGAGAGAAGCAGUAACUGGCCAGGAGAAGGAGAACAGCCAGGAGAGCCAGGAUCACCCAUAGAGCCACCAUCCAGGGAUUGACUUGUGGGAAAAACAGCUCUGCAAGAGAAAGUGCCAUUGACUUGGGAGCAAACAUGCACAGAAUGAAGGCAGGACUCUGUGACAGUGGUGACAAUGUGACUAGUUAAAAGAGUCUCACAGGGAAAUACACAGGGAGAUGUGGCUGCUUUGUGCUUUAUUAUUAAGCCAAUAAAAACCCAACCUUUAGCCUG